UUUUCUCUCGAUAUUUAAAGUUUCUCAUGGUUGAGGAUAAUAUUUUUGUUUACUGCGUUGUAGUGUUGGAGUUUUAUGUGCUUACCAUAUUGUUUUCUUUGCUUCUAAAAUACUUGUAUAUGCAGUAGUUUGAACAUUUUGUUCGUUGGGUUACUUGUGGGUUACACGUUCAAAAUGUGGUCAUUAGACAAUGAUAAAGACAAGGCUAAAUUGUUCAACUUCUUGAUGUUGCCUUCUUUGUGAUAUUUACUAUUCUUUGAUGUUUUGUUUCAAUUUAUUGAAAGAGGUAGGUAGCUUUGAAAAAAAGAUUGUGUAUUUGUAUUGAUUUGAGCAUGAAGAAAUUGCCAGGAACUUGAAAACUGCAGAAAGGAAACACAACAACAAUAAAGUUUUAAUCUCAAAUUUUUUAGGUCGGCUACAUGAAUCAUACUAUUUCAUUUGAGAUUUCAGUCCAGUGUUAUAUCACAUUAACCCGCAUGAUGUCCUUAAACGCUUUUCUCCAAGUUUUCUUAGCUCUACUUCUGGUACAUGUUGUAGUCUUCGUUGCACUUGACCAACCGAACUUAUCUCUAUUGACUCUCGCUUUAUCUUCAAUUGGAGUAACAUCUGACCUCUCACUAAUGCACUCAAUUCCUAUAUAUGUAUGCUACAUUUAAUAGAAAUGAAGAAGAUGUUAUUGCCAAAGGGUAAGACACAUUCAAAUGGCUCCCUGAAAAUUUUUGUAGGUACUGUCAAUCAGUUGAUCUAUGGUAGCUUCCACUAAUAGUCCAUAGAGGAUAGAGGACAAAGAACACUGAAACCAAUCUUAUGUGUCAUACAUGAGCUUCAAUAAUUGAGUGUUCUCUCUUGAUGAAUCCACUAGAUUCUUUUAUGUCAAAUAGAGUAGGCUAACAUAACAAAUGUGUUUGCACUCAACCCAAAAACUAACCAAAUAUUUCAGUCCAAGAUGUUGUUUAAUAUGGAGUGAAGAAUUCACAUGGACUAAAUUACCAGAUUGGUAUUAAAAAUAGCACCUAAUGAUCAGAUUGGUAUUAAAAUUAUCUACGGCACAAAGGCAUUUAAAACUUACACGAUGAGACAAAUAGGCCCAAAAAUGUAUUUUUAGCUAACUUUUCUAGCAACAACUCAUAUAAUUUGUCACAUGAUGCUUAUGUGGUAUAUUUAUGAUAACAUAACAGCUGUAGUUAGCCUAAUUCAAACCAUUAGAUGGGUAUAUUUUUAAGUUAGUGUAAAAACAAGGAGGAUUUUUUUAAUUUGGGAGCUUCUUCUCCUUCUUCUAUCAAAUUAGGGUUCUCCAUUGCUUGAGAACAUGGAUUCCUUCAGCUCAAGAAAUGAAGAACCACCAAUUUGAAGAAAGGAGGAGGAGUAGUCCCAAAUUUUAAAAAAUCCAUCUUUUUUUUAACCCUAAUUUAAAAUUUACUCCUAAUGGAUUGAUACUAACUACAGUUGUCACGUCAUCAUAAACAUGUCAUCUAAGCACUUGUGACAGACUGAAUGGUCGCCGGAAAAUUUAUUUUUGAGCCUAUUUAUCUCAUCGUGCAAGUUUAAAUACUUUGGUGUCGCCGGAGAUAAUUUUAAUACCUUGUUGGUCAUGGGGUACUUCUUUUAAUGUCAAUCUGGUAAUUUAGCCAAUUCACAUGUUAUAAAAUAUACACCAGAAAUUCCAGAGCUUAAUAUCCGAAAAAACAUUGUUUGCAUUGGCUUCAAUGUGUCAUUUGGCCUGCCUUAGAAGCAACUUUCCCAUCAUAUCUGCACUUGACUUGUAUUAAACUUUAGCUUCACAAAAAUUCAGUUCUCCACAAUACUUGUGACUUUUGACAAAAUCCAGGACACCUUGAAAAUGCAAAAGCUAAAUUCAUGAAUCUGAUGAAUGCUUUAAUCUCUUACUAGAACAAAGCUAGUCAAACCUGUCAUUAUAGAAUCUGGACCCAAACUUUUCUUCUCAUUUUGCUCUCUUGAAGGGCGUUUUAUCAAAUCAAAUAGAGAGGAAGGCUAACUUCUGAAAAUGGCCAGCUAAGUCUAUGAAAAAAUUAAAAAGUUUGAUGAGAUAUCGAUGAGACCUGAAAAUGAUUGGUAAAGCAUUGAUUUGAAGCUUACAGUCAGCAAGUUUUAUCACAAUGUGCAGUUCAAUUUGCAAGAUUCAUCCUCUACUUCACAUGGAAUUCCAAGCUAUUGGCACUUUUCACUUAAGUUAUGGGAAUGUACCGAAAACAUAAAUACCCUAUUAAAUUUUGUAUUAAGAACAAAAAGUUUUAACUAAGAAAACCAAAGCACCAUAAGUACAAUUUGCAUACGAACAACUUGACUGAAGUACAGAAAAAAUGUAGAGAUAAGAUAGAAAAGGAAGAUGACAACAAAAAUCUGAAUGAUUUAACCUUUAUUCUUCAUCCACUGGAUAAGGUUCAGAGAUUCACUAAUUGAAGGGUAAUAUGAGAGUCAUAUUUAGUUGAUAGAGGUACAAUUAUAUAAAAAUUUUCAUGUGUCAUAAUUCUUAAGUAAAACAGGUUUACGUUGGUAUUUUAUGAUUUCACAAGCUCAGGAUAGUUUGUAUUGUAUGAAAUGUACCCUAACGAGAAUAAAGCUAAAAUCAAUUGUGACAAGUCAUUUAACAGUAAUUUUCAGAAAUUAGUAGUUCAACGGAACAAGAACCUAGAAACUAAAGAUAAUAGCUGCUGACGUAAGCACGCUGAUCUCUGCAUAUUAAAGUCAAUGAUCCAGACUGGCCUAAAGUAUUAUUAGUCACAGGAUCAUAGCAACAAGUUGCAGAAAUAUAAUUACAAUGUUCCCUCAGAUCAGCAUUCACUAAGCUGGAGCCUAUCAGCUUAAAUACUUGCCCAACUUGUACCAUUUUCAUACAGCCACAAUUUUCAGUCUGAAUUUAUACCAAAAGAAGUUAUAGAAGAAGCAGACUCAGGUUUCCUACGCAGGAGAGAUGAUGCCAUUGCUCAUUGGAGAAGCAAAGGAAAAGGGAAAAAAAAGCAUCCUUUGUUUAGAAAAGACGGUGGCAUCAUCUCUCUGCGAAGGUAACAUGAAAGCAUUUGCUCUUUUGAGUUGCUAAGCAGUUUCAGGGAAAAUAUUUCUUGACCUGAAGAGCAUGCAAUAAGGUUUUUAAUUUAGCAGCAGCGGAGCUCUACUGUCAAGAAUGCUGAGGUUACAAAGAGGAAGAGUGUGUUGAAUAGGAGUGUGGGUGGAGCCUGUGUUGUUGUGCUGUUUCAACUUCUAUCCAAAGUAUUACAAUAUAAAUAUGUGGUUGAAUAUGGAUGAAUAUUGUCUUGUUUCCACUUAUUAUUGUCCAUGAUAUUAGGUUUUUUCCCCCUUUUUGUUUGAGGGAUCAGUUUUGAUGAGAAUUAUCAUAUUCAUUAUACUUGUAUCCCCCCAUUCUGGAGUUUGUUUCAUUAAUUUCUUUUUAAUGGAUCGUUGGAGAGCGAUGCUUCACA